UACGUAGGUGGCGAGCGUUGUCCGGAUUUACUGGGCGUAAAGGGAGCGUAGGCGGACUUUUAAGUGAGAUGUGAAAUACUCGGGCUCAACUUGAGUGCUGCAUUUCAAACUGGAAGUCUAGAGUGCAGGAGAGGAGAAUGGAAUUCCUAGUGUAGCGGUGAAAUGCGUAGAGAUCAGGAAGAACACCAGUGGCGAAGGCGAUUCUCUGGACUGUAACUGACGCUGAGGCUCGAAAGCGUGGGGAGCAAACAGG
rnacentral:rRNA from 1 species